GGCCUUAUUUUCAAUUCUAUCGCAAUGUUAUUGAGUGUUUUCUUGGACUUAGAAUCUUUAGCCUCAAUAAUUACCAUCUGUUAUAAUUUAAUAUGAAAUUGGAAUAAAAUUUCACCAUGGUAAUGACAUUUUACAAUAUUUAAUAUUAUUGGAAACUUAAAAUGGUUGACAAGUCGUUUUUUCUUAAAGUGGCGGGACUAAUUGGGGGCACCGGUCUGGUUGCAUACUCAGGCUAUAGAUUAUAUAAAUACAUUCAGUGGCGUAGAGAAGUUGCUGAGUUCCGCUUGAGAAAGAAAUUAGAUGAGGAGCGUGGGAUCGAUCGUACAUGGAGUGAGGAAGUAGAGUUUUUAGUAGCACAAGGUCAUGACCGCAAAAACAUUCAUAGUCAUAUGGCAUAAUGAUUCAUUCAAUUCAGGGGGAACAACAAAAACGAAGGGCAAAAUUACAAGGUUGUAGCAUAUCUAGAAGUGGACGUAGAACAUAGAAAUUGUAGGUAGAUAUAGUUUGUAGAAUUUGUAGCCCACCUCAGCACAAUCGAUUCCUCUCGACUCAUCUAAAUUCUGCCUUUUUCUUCACUCAGCAAGUUGUCACGUCUCUGAAUGUUCCUUUCCUUAAUCUAUAGCACAGGAGCAAUCAGGUUUGGUCCCUCCAGUUAGUCCUAAAAGUAGAAGAAGAGGAGUUGAGUUUUCUGAUCCCAAUAGGAGGUCAGAAAAAAAAAGAAUAAGACAAGAAAAGAAAUUUUAAUGGUUUCUUUCCCACUGUAUAUGAAUGCAAUGCCCAAAAGUUCAACAAAGGAAGAAACUAGGAACAAAGGGCUGGUGACGAACUUAAUGUUCUUAUCAUCAUAUUAAUUUAAAAAAACUGAAAUUGAACAAUCAUUCCAUGUUAAAGGGCAACUGCAAAUCACAAGAAUUUGAUAGCUGUCAAUGUUUGCGGAACCAUGAGCAUUAGUUUAAGCAUUGAUACGACAGUCAUCAUUGAUAUGGAGAUGGCAAGCAGAUUAUGACAUUAUUAUAAACUACAGUCCCCAUCAGAAUUUCAACAUAAUGAAGAUUGUAUACACUUGUGGCCAACAUAAUCAAUUAUACAUUUAAAUUCAUGAUAGUCUUCAUAAUUCAUUCAUCAUUUUGAUUCUAGAAUGGUUAUUUGAAUGUCACUUUACACACAACACGAUUUUCUGCCGAUUACCAAAAAAUACCAAAAAGUAAUAUGUUCAAUUACAGACGACGAAUGAAUAAAAUAAAUGUUAAUAAUAAAUUCAUGAUUUAAUCAGUUUAAUAUACUGAAUUGAUAUAGAUGUGGCAGACAAAUUGCAACAAUGUUAAAUCUACAUUCUGAUAUUAACCAAUGCAAAUAAUACAUGAAUAAAAAUUAUAACGUGCAAGUGUAAAAACAUUUUAGAACAAUUUCAUAAUUAGAUUUAUAUACAACUAUUUUGGAUUUGGGUUUGGCCAAUAGAACAGCUCAUCAUUUCCACCUCUCCCAAAAAAUCACGUAUUAAUGAAGAUUUACACUAAUACUAUGUCGUUAUAGAGAAGAAAAUUUUACAAAAAGUCAAUAUAAUUUAUUAUUCUCAAUGUUGUUUUUCAUUUAUGAUGUCUAUAUUAAUACCAAAAACUCUCUGUAUUAAUCUCUACGUUAAUACUGACAGUC